AUUGAACGCUGGCGGCAGGCCUAACACAUGCAAGUCGAGCGGCAGCGGGUCCUUCGGGAUGCCGGCGAGCGGCGGACGGGUGAGUAAUGCCUAGGAAUCUGCCUGGUAGUGGGGGAUAACGUUCGGAAACGGACGCUAAUACCGCAUACGUCCUACGGGAGAAAGUGGGGGAUCUUCGGACCUCACGCUGUCAGAUGAGCCUAGGUCGGAUUAGCUAGUUGGUGGGGUAAAGGCUCACCAAGGCGACGAUCCGUAACUGGUCUGAGAGGAUGAUCAGUCACACUGGAAGUGAGACACGGUACAGACUCCUACGGGAGGCAGCAGUGGGGAAUAUUGGACAAUGGGCGAAAGCCUGAUCCAGCCAUGCCGCGUGUGUGAAGAAGGUCUUCGGAUUGUAAAGCACUUUAAGUUGGGAGGAAGGGCAGUCAGUUAAUACCUGGUUGUUUUGACGUUACCAACAGAAUAAGCACCGGCUAACUUCGUGCCAGCCGCCGCAGUAAGAC
rnacentral:rRNA from 1 species